UUUAGGAGGUCAUCCCAGGGAGUGGGGAAGUGAGACAAAGCAGGGAAAAGAGGCAGCACAGGGAGUGUGAAGAUGUCCGCUGUGGGCAACUGGAGCUCAGCCCCGCUGGGGGCCUCCGAGAGACUGCACAAACCACACCACAGUUGUCCAUCAUUUCACUGAGGACUAACCGCCACCACGUGUGACCAGCCCUGCACACAUGCCAAGCAUGCUCUAGUAGGCAGAGCCACGGGGUUUGCAAGAGGAAGCCCGUGGAGCAAAGUAACGCGAGAGCUGAGGGGCUGCCGACAGCCGCUGACAGCCUCAGCAACAUCUUUAAACCCUCGAGGCCACCUAAACAGGUUUAGCUUAAUGCAUCAGCCAACUGAGUCCUGUUUAAUGCUCUAGACGUGGUGCAUGACUCUCUGUGCUACUUCCUGUUCUGGGUGGGUCCAACCCUCCAGGUAAGACACGACCCAGAGAGCCAGCCCAGCAAGAACUAACUGGAGUGCUCUGAACGCUGCCUGCUCAGGGUGCCAGGGCAGUGAUGGGUCUGCAUUCCUGAUUUCCAGAAUUUUCUUUAAAGCAUAGGGCUAGAGUAGACCAAUCUCUCCAAUGUAGAUUCAGAUCUAUGGAUUUAUUCUAAGAACAAAUUCAACUGGAAAAGUAAGAAGUCGGCAUUCCUUCGAGCAUGAUGAGCAAGGAGAGAGGGCUUAUGGUCAAAGGAACUGGAUCGGGCUGCUGCAACCAAGAUCUGCCUCAAAAAAAAAAAAUUCUGAUUAACCUGAAAAUUCAAAGAACAGGCACACCCCUCAGUGCUAAGAUUAAGGCUGUCCGUCCACCGGGGAGGAGAAAUAAACUGUGUACACCCACACAAUGGAGUGCUGAUAUGCUGCAACAAAGAUGAACCUCAGAGGCAAAUGCUACAUGAAAGGAGCCAGACUCGAAAGUUAGAAAGUUAUAUACUGUGUGAUUCAUUUACGUUGCAUUCUUGAAAUGGCAAAACUGUAGGGACAGAAAACAGAUCAGUGAUGGCCAGAGGCUAGAGGCAGAGGGAGGUCUGACUGCAAACAGGGCCAGCUUCAGGAUCGAGGAGCCUGAGGGCUGUAUGCCCAGAGAAUCCCUGAGCUCGGGUUCACCCUGUGUUGUUGCUGUUUGAAACUUUUAAACAUUUUAUCUCUGAACUGGUGGAUCAAUGGAGUAUGCCCCUGUGCAGAGAGGAUGCAUACAAUAUUCUUACCCCACACCGGCCCUUGCUGCCGCAGCCAUGUAGAAUGCUCACGAUGACUCAUGAGCACAGAACUUCAGAUCCACGACGUGAUGAGAGCACAGUGAGAAUCAAGGCAAGUACAAGGAAAGCCUGUCACAGGACUUGCCGGCUCCGUAGGGUGUUGGCAGAAAGUGUGUGUAUCAAGAAGCAAAAUAAAAACUAUCGAGUUAGUUUCGUGCAGUUUUCCAUCAUUAUAGUAAGAACGAAAUACGUCUGCCAGCACGAGCUACGAAAUACGAAUUGUAUAAUUUCACUGAUGCCACAUAUCAGUGUGCUCUUACAUUUAUUUGCAUUUAAAACAGGCAUUAUACAGCAUGAAAAUGAAUGACAAAAUUUAUGCUAAUGUAAAAUUUUAACUUUUCUUUAGUGAGAACAUUAAAUAGCCAGUAAAAAUCACCAUGACAAGUCAAAAGAAACUGCAGAAGAAAUAAAAAAGAUUGUACCUUACUAUCUUUACUGGCCUUUUUCCCCACAUUUUGAAUAGGACCCUGAAAAUUCUAGAGCUAGCCCUGGCUACAAAGGAGCAGCACUGGGGGAUUUGGGGAAGUGAUGGGCAUCAUUUAAUGCGUUGACUGUGGUGGUGGUUACACUCACAUGAAAAAGGCUGAGUUUUACUGGGUAUAAAGUAGACCUUAAUUUUUAAAAUGGGUGACUGCAUCUGCCUUUUAUGGCUUUUACUGAUAACUAAAGUUAAAUCCAGCAAGCCUGCUUUUGAGUGUGAAAUGUGUAGGAACUGCUGCCCAGUAUGAUAAAAUAACGAGUUCUGAAUGUUCGUUCCUUGAACUUUCGGAGACUCGUGCUAACCAAAAUCCCCUUCCUUCUCAG
ensembl:lncRNA